ACGGAAUAGAUACCCAGAUAGUCCAUGCCGUAAACGAUGAGUGCUAAGUGUUAGGGGGUUUCCGCCCCUUAGUGCUGCAGCUAACGCAUUAAGCACUCCGCCUGGGGAGUACGACCGCAAGGUUGAAACUCAAAGGAAUUGACGGGGGCCCGCACAAGCGGUGGAGCAUGUGGUUUAAUUCGAAGCAACGCGAAGAACCUUACCAGGUCUUGACAUCCCAGUGACCACUCUAGAGAUAGAGUUUUCCCUUCGGGGACAUUGGUGACAGGUGGUGCAUGGUUGUCGUCAGCUUGUGUCGUGAGAUGUUGGGUUAAGUCCCGCAACGAGCGCAACCCUUAAUCUUAGUUGCCAUCAUUUAGUUGGGCACUCUAAGGUGACUGCCGGUGACAAACCGGAGGAAGGUGGGGAAGACGUCAAAUCAUCAUGCCCCUUAUGACCUGGGCUACACACGUGCUACAAUGGACGGUACAAAGAGUCGCUAACUCGCGAGAGCACGCUAAUCUCAUAAAACCCGUUCUCAGUUCGGAUUGUAGGCUGC
rnacentral:rRNA from 1 species